UACGAAGGGGGACUAGCGUUGUUCGGAAUUACUGGGCGUAAAGCGCACGUAGGCGGAUUUGUAAGUCAGGGGUGAAAUCCCGGGGCUCAACCUCGGAACUGCCUUUGAUACUGCAAAUCUCGAGUCCGAUAGAGGUGGGUGGAAUUCCGAGUGUAGAGGUGAAAUUCGUAGAUAUUCGGAGGAACACCAGUGGCGAAGGCGGCUCACUGGCUCGGUACUGACGCUGAGGUGCGAAAGCGUGGGGAGCAAACAGGG
rnacentral:rRNA from 1 species